rnacentral:lncRNA from 1 species
UCUCUCGUUUCCUCCGUAUCUUGCCAACACCGCUCAGACGUGCACAUAUGUAGCGGUGGCUUAUCACACAGCUCUUGUAAGCAACCAGAGACUGACGCUUAAUAGAAGUCCGAUGUGUUCGUUGUCUACGCUAUAGUUUGAAAGCUGUGAGAAAGUGUGUGCUAUUAAAGCUUAGAGGUAACUUCAGUGUUGUACCUACAAACGAGAACUUGUGUGGUCAGAGUCUUCGGAGACAUAUAUAUCCAUGCUGACCACGUUCGUCGCGCUCUUCGCGCUCACGGCGACGCUUCUGUUUUGGUGGCUGCGAAGGACAUUCACCUUUUGGAAGGACAAGGGAAUAGCGCACCUUACCUUUUCUCAGUACAUGCGCUUCCUCUACGAUCUUUACACUAAGCCCGUGAACAAAGUGAUCAUCAGUUCCUACACCCAAUACGGCCGUGUGUACGGGUAA